GUAGGGAAUAUUGCACAAUGGGGGAAACCCUGAUGCAGCGACGCCGCGUGAGUGAUGAAGGCCUUCGGGUCGUAAAGCUCUGUCGUAUGGGACUAACAAAAUGAAGGUACCAUGCAAGAAAGGAUCGGCUAACUUCGUGCCAGCAGCCGCGGUAAGACGAGGGAUCCUAGCGUUGUUCGGAAUUAUUGGGCGUAAAGCGGGUGUAGGCGGGCCUGUCAGUCAGGUGUGAAAUCCCAGGGCUUAACCCUGGAAGUGCACUUGAUACUGCAGGUCUUGAGUGUGGUAGAGGCUAUUAGAAUUCUUGGUGUAGUGGUGAAAUACGUAGAUAUCAAGAGGAAUACCGGAGGCGAAGGCGGAUAGCUGGGCCAACACUGACGCUGAGACCCGAAAGCGUGGGGAUCAAACAGGAUUAGAUACCCGUGUAGUCC
rnacentral:rRNA from 1 species